ensembl:lncRNA
GGAACAUGGAACAUCCUGGUGGCGCCGUGUGUUAUUUGGUGAUCGCUCUAGUUAGGGCUAUAUCACACUAUACUACAAGGUGACCCGUACAGGAUGAGAAUAUCAUGAAACUAUUUGUUUCAUCUUAAUAUAUCGUCGUUUGAAAUGGUAAGCUUAAUGCUCACUUGUAGAUUCGAAACUGCUAGUAACGUAUAGAUUCCAAACUGCUACUACCCAGCUAUGCUAACUCUUACUUGGCUGCGCGGUGAUUUGAAAUGUGAAAUCCGCUGUGAUUGCCUUGUCGGCAAAUCUAACAGUUUUCAAUUAUGCAUUUAAUAAAUUAAUUGAAUUUCCAUAGUAACAAGAGAAUUUGCUACAUGGUGAGUUUACCCUAGAAUUGCCCUGUUUUAGAGAGGGCCCACGUGUUUGCCAUGCGGUGAAACAUUAGCCAGAUUCCAUUUGACCAAUCUAUAACGGUAGUAGUUUGCAGGCUAGGUAUGUAGCAGUUCGUAAUGUGUGUUAAAGGAUGACAGCACAAGACUAUAUAGUCUCUGAUACAGCAUGAUGGUCUUUCACAGUGCACUGAAAACGCAUGUUUAUACACCAACGAUUAUCACUGUAAUGUCACUUAUGAACGGUCAUCAGUGUUUCAACCUUCUUUCAGCAGUCUGCCGGGUAUGGAGGCUCUUGUGACUAUGGGCUCAAGCAAACCUUGGCAAAUUUUGUGCCCCCCUUAUCACCAGGCCUUCCACACACUCAACUGGUAAAGCCCAGUUACUGGACCUGGAGACCGGAUGUCUGUCUUUACAGUGGCUUGCAGGAGGGCAAGGUUCUUUCAUUUAAAGAUUGACUUGGAUGGAAUCAUGGUCUGUCUACAACCAAGCUAAAAGCUCCAGGUGUGAAGUUAUGAGGUGUUCCUGUACCUGGAAUGUGAUGUCGGUCUUUACUUGCAGGAGGGGAAGGUCCUUUCAUUUCAAGAUUGACUUGGAUGGAAUCAUGGUCUGUCUACGAUCAAGCUAGAUGCUCCAGGUGUGAAGUCAUGAGGUGUUCCUGUACCUGGAAUGUGAUGUCGGUCUUUACAGGGGCUUGCAGGAGGGGAAGGUCCUUUCAUUUCAAGAUUGACUUGGAUGGAAUCAUGGUCUGUCUACGAUCCAAGCUAGAAGCUCCAGUUGUGAAGUCAUGAGGUGUUCCUGUAACUGAUGUCUGUCUUUACAGUGGCUUGCAGGAGGGGAAGGUCCUUUCAUUUUCAAGAUUGACUUGGAUGGAAUCAUGGUCAGUCUACGAUCAAGCUAGAAGCUCCAGUUGUGAAGUCAUGAGGUGUUGCUGUUAUGAAGAUCUACAUUAACUGCACUGGGACCCAACAACCUCCAAGACUCAUAAAUUCGAAAUAAAUUUCUUUAAAUUGAA